UGCAAAUUUGGUCCAUGUUAUAUGUAAAAAUUGAUGUUUGAUCUAGAAUAUUUUAGAGUUAUACCAUGGCCCAAAAUAAAAAUUUUAUUGUAGUUUUGGUCCUUAAAUAUAUUUAAUUGAGUCAGAAUGUCUGUUUUGUCAUUUUUUAGAGUUGUUGUUAUUAUUAUUAUUUCAUUUAUUUUUUAAAUGAAUAAUAAAAUAAAAAUUCCUAAUCUCAUCCUCUGUCUCUCUUUCUCUACUCUCUCUCUCUCUCUCUCUAUCUCUCUCUCACUCUAAAAAACAACAUUCGAGACAAACAUUUCUCCUUUUUUCUUCUUUGUCCCCUCCAAACGCACACACAAACACAUAAAAAAAAUUCUCCAUUUUCAGGGACGAGAUCGGAGACAUGACCCGAUUUUGGAGACAAACAUUUCUCCGGCAAUGCUAGGGCUUGCUUUAACAGUCGGCUUCGACUCCAUCAUGUGUGACUUGAAGGCAACUCAUCUGAGGAGGAACCCAUCGUCUGGGAUGAUUUUUAGGUGGAGAUUGAGGUGGGUGGUAGUUGCGGAUGGUGGUGAUGGUGGACGGUGGUCGAAUGGUGGUGGUGGCAGAAUAUGUUUUUGAGUUCAUGAAGAUAUUCUUGAGUGCUCUUGAAUUUAUGAUGAUGUUCUUGAGUGUUAUCAAAACAAACUCGGAUGGAGAGAGAGAGAGAGAGAGAGAGAGAGAGAGAGAGAGAGAGAGAGAGAGAGAGAGAGAGAGAGAGAGAGAGAGAGAGAGAGAGAGAGAGA